GGUAAAUUCUGCCCUAUGGUUUUCUAAAUGGCUGCAGUAUUUUGACUGUGCAAAGGUAGCAUAGUAAUUAGUUUCUUAAUUAGAAGCUGGUAUGAAUGGAUUAAUGAGAAAGAUAUUUUAUUAAUUUCAUUUUUAUAAAUUAAACUUUAAGUAAAAAUGCUUAAUUAAUUUCUAGGGACGAUAAGACCCUAUAGAACUUUAUAUAAUAUAUCAUAUAUUAAUAUAUUUUUAUAAAAAAUAUUAUAUUAAUAUUUAUUAUAAUUUGCUGGGGUGGUAGAUAAAUUUUAACUUUAUAUUUAAAUUUCAAUAAUUAAUGUAAAUAAUGAUCCUUAUGGAAUUUAAGAUUUAGUUACCUUAGGGAUAACAGCGCAAUUUAAGUGGGGAGUUCAUAUCUAUAUUUUAUUUUGCGACCUCGAUGUUGAAUUAAGGAAAGAUUAAGAAGUAGAGUUCUUGUAUCUAAGUCUGUUCGACUU
rnacentral:rRNA from 1 species